GUGAAUAGACUCAUUCCCAGAUUGUUAGAUCAAUGAGCAUUUUGAUAAGAUACCUGGAAAGCCUGACUAUAGUAACAAAAUACCCUUCAUAAUUACAUUAUUGGCGAUUAUUAUUUGAGAUUAUUAUUUCCUGUCCAGAUAAGCCAACAUGAGGUUAUGAGAAGAAAGCAGUGCAGCCUGUUUAAGAGAGUGGAAGGGCUUUGGUGAGCCCCUGACUUUUUGCAUGUUCAGUGUUGUAAAUCCCUAGCCCUUUGCCAAAGCGGGUCAUUCCAAGCUGAGACUUUUAAACAGCUUGUCCUCAUGUUGAUGAAGACCCAGGCCUGAUAAGGCACCGAAGAGAAGUUCCACACAAAACACCUUUCAUCUUCAGCUCCCUGUCUUCAUCAUCCUUUGCUGCAUCUCUCAGGAUGCAAAGUGACGUCAUAAGCGGGAACUUAUUGAUGUAAGAGAUGUCCUUGAAAGAGGGACAGCAGAGGGAGCAAUGCUGCCAUUUCGAUUAAACCUGUUCAGGAUGGCUGGAACAGCUUGGUAUGGGCAGAGAUCUUCAAAAGCACACCCUCAGCUAGCAAUUGUGAGCAGAGGUCUGCAAGCUUUAAGGAGACAUAUUUUUCACAAAGCACACUGAAAGAUAUUGCGCACCAAAGUAUGGAGCAUCUUCUAGAUCUAGCCCUCAGGAUCAUGGCCAAAACUUUCACAUGAACAUUAAAUGACAGAAGAAAAUGAGUCUUAAUUUCAUCAGAAGCUGAGACUUCUGGCCUUGUCUGGCAGUGCCUGAAGCAUUCUCAGGUGAAGAUCUGGAAGAGAUUUUCCAAAUUCAGCUUCAGAUGGGAAGAUGGGGAAGGAGUCCCUGGACAAAAGAAGGGGUAGAAGAUUUCCAAGGAAAAUAUCCUUCGUUUGUCACUGUAUCACCUCCCUGCACUGUAUUUUGUUUGAUAUUAGCAAACAUUGUGUAAGUAAACCUCCCUAAAGAUCACAUGGUAGAGAAACAAUUACAGUGCUGUCCCAUAGGAGACUAAUAAAAAACAAAACAAAAACAACAACAACAAAAAACCACCACAGAUCUGCCUUUUUUAAAUUUGGAACUCGUAAGAACAUUCCCUGCCUGUUAAUUAAAUUCCUUGCCUGUUAAAUUGGCCAGCAAAUACUUCAGAAGUGGCUACUAGAUAUUUAUUACACAUUGUUGCUCCAUUUUAUGUGCUCUAGUAGUGUGAAAGCACGCACUCAAGCAAGGGGACAGAGGGAAAGCCCCAGGGCUGCAGUUAUCUAAGGAAGUGUUGUAUGUUCUGCUGGAAUAGAGAAAAUCAAGUGUUCUCUCUGAUGAGCCUUGCAGGUUUGUCUGGACCAUCCUGGCAGGUUGGCUCCUGGUUUAAAAGUCCCCUUCGGUUUAGAGGUAACAGAUAAAACUCCCCAGAACAAACCUCCAGAAAACCCUACAAAUUAAAACACCAAGAUAAAUGGAUGAAAACCAAGGGACAGCAUAAGUUUUGAGUGCAUACUGGAACACAAAAUAUAAGCUUUUUCUUUUUACGUGCAUCUCCUUGCUGCCCCUGAGCCUCAGACACCACUGUGCUAAGCAGUAAGUAAGGCAGAGUGACAAUGGACAGCAUCUGCUUCCAGAGAGGAACCAAUACAAAUAAACAAAGGAAGAAAGACAGGGCAAAUAUUAAGAAACAGCAUUUUAUCAUAAUCAAUACCUGAAUUUGUAGGAGCCUUGAAGAAACACCAGUACAAUCAAAAGCAUGUUUGUUUUGCCAAUUAUAUCAGCUCAUCUAACAAUGGAAUACCUUCUAUUAACACUUUGUUUGCCUAUAACAUCACAUGAUUUUGGCUACAAUAACACUGCAAUUGCUUGAGUUUCCAGAAUACUUAUAUUUACUUAAAUUUUAUGCUAAAUUAAGCAAAUCUUGAUAGGAAAAAGACUGUGUUCAUAAUGCAGAUGGUGUCUGUGCCAGGUAUUAGUACAGUAUUCUUACUAGCUUGGAAAGCUAGUCAAAUCAAGGACAAAGAACAGGUCAAAAACUUGAAAAAUAACAUUGACACAACAGAUAUUUCCGAGUCUUUGUUUUUCUGUACCUGAAAGGGAAGCAGCCAUCGUCACCCUGCUUUCCAGAGAAGUAAUGUGCUUUCUUAAGUGCUUUCUUUGAAAUUUUGUCAUUUUCUGUAUUAAUGAAAGCUCAGUAUUUUAAUCAUUAAAGCUUAGAAUAAUCCAGAUCACAGAUCUAUAACAACCGCAGCAAGUGAGAAGCAUCUUUUCCAACAGGAAAUGCUUUAAAGAGAUACGAGAAAGGGAAGAAGGGAACAUACCUUAGUUAUCACACCCAGAUACCGUGUCUGGGUAAAGCAAUUAAAGACCUCAGCUGGCAGGAGGAAAAAAUAAAUUAACAACUAAAGUAUAAUAAGGUAGGCAGUGUAAUAAGAGUAAAGUAGAGGGAAGUCUUAGUCCUGUAGGGAUCAGAGUUAUGACAAGUGCUCAACGACAGAACAUAAGAACAAAUCAGAGUUCCUUUUCUUAGGCUUUAUAGAUCCCUUGCACAGCAGGGGCUUAUACCCAACCUAAUAGAAGGAGGGAGAAGAGAGGCAGAAGGUGCUGAUGGAGUGGGAUAAAUAUUGUCCUCAUUGCAGGGGAAGGACACCCACAACACAUCUCUGGCAAUAAAUAUUAGCUGUAG